rnacentral:rRNA from 1 species
UACGUAGGUGGCAAGCGUUAUCCGGAUUUACUGGGUGUAAAGGGCGUGUAGGUGGGGACGCAAGUCAGAUGUGAAAACCACGGGCUCAACCUGUGGCCUGCAUUUGAAACUGUGUUUCUUGAGUACUGGAGAGGCAGACGGAAUUCCUAGUGUAGCGGUGAAAUGCGUAGAUAUUAGGAGGAACACCAGUGGCGAAGGCGGCUUGCUGGACUGUAACUGACGUUGAGGCUCGAAAGCGUGGGGAGCAAACAGG